rnacentral:rRNA from 1 species
GACGAACGCUGGCGGCGUGCUUAACACAUGCAAGUCGAACGAUGAAGCCGGAGCUUGCUCUGGUGAAUUAGUGGCGAACGGGUGAGUAACACGUGAGUAACCUGCCCUUGACUCUGGGAUAACUGCGGGAAACUGUAGCUAAUACCGGAUACGACCCUCGGAGGCAUCUCCUGGGGGUGGAAAGAAUUUCGGUCAAGGAUGGACUCGCGGCCUAUCAGCUAGUUGGGGAGGUAACGGGUCACCAAGGCGACGACGGGUAGCCGGCCUGAGAGGGUGACCGGCCACACUGGGACUGAGACACGGCCCAGACUCCUACGGGAGGCAGCAGUGGGGAAUAUUGCACAAUGGGCGCAAGCCUGAUGCAGCAACGCCGCGUGAGGGAUGACGGCCUUCGGGUUGUAAACCUCUUUUAGCAGGGAAGAAGCGAAAGUGACGGUACCUGCAGAAAAAGCACCGGCUAACUACGUGCCAGCCGCCGCUGUAA